rnacentral:rRNA from 1 species
UGGUGGAGUGGUUUGUCUGAUUAAUUCUGUUAACAAAUGAGACCCCUGCCUGCUAAAUAACCCGGUGAGUAAAUUUUCACUGACUGAUGGCUUCUUAGAGGGAUGUGUAUUCUAUCAGAUGCAGGAGGAUAGGGGCAAUAACA